GGGCGGGCCCGGACGUGAGGCGGCGGCGGACGGGGCGGUGAUUGGCGGAGCGGGGCGGGCCCGGACGUGAGGCGGCGGCGGGUGAUGGAGCCCGGGGGUGACGGUCCCGCGGCGGGGCCGGCGCUGGGCCGGGGCGGCCUGGAGGCCCUGCAGCACACGGCGGGCUCGGUGCUGUCCAGCUAUGGCUGGUACAUGCUCCUGGCCGUCGUCGCCGUGUAUCUCCUCGUGCAGAAGGUGUCCCGCAGCCUGGCGGCGCGGCCGAGCGGCCGGCCCGGAGCGGCUGAGGCGGCCGAGGAACCUGAUGCAGUGGUGAGAAGGCAGGAAGCUUUGGCAGCAGCUCGCCUCAGGAUGCAAGAGGAAUUGAAUGCACAAGCAGAAAGAUACAAGGAAAAGCAAAGACAGCUGGAGGAGGAGAGGCGAAGGCAGAAGAUUGCAAUGUGGGAGAGUAUGCAAGAAGGAAAAAGCUACAAAGGAAACCUGAAACUGAAUCAGCAAGAAGUAGAAUCUGGUGCCUCUGCCUCAGCACUCCCAAAAUCUAAACCAAACAAAAAGCCUUUGAGAGGAGGUGACUACUCCUUGCAGGACUGGAAUAAGGGAUUAUUUUAAGUCCCUGGCUGUUGGGGCUCUUGGAGAACAGAUAAACUCUACAGAGUUUACUGCUAUAACCCACUGUCUGGAGAAGGAGGAGGGACGUGCUCCUGGAGACCCGGCCGGCGGGGCCCGUCAGCAGGCGGAUGAGGCUAACGUCCCUAGUGUCCCCUGGCACUAGCAGGCCUGAUCUUACCCCCUGUCUAGCUGCCUGCAGCUGGCCUGUCACAAGGACUCCUUUGGGACUGGUUUAGUGCACUUGUUAACUUAAAACAGAAUUUGUUUGUUUGAUUUACACCCUUUCCAAAUUGUAAGACAUUGGCUGAUGGUACACCAGAAAAAUACCUGAUCCUCUUAGGGAGGGCAAAGAGAGAAGCAAUUUCAGUAUAAUCAGUUAAUUUUCACUCUUCUGUAGAGAGGGAGUGUAGUCUCCAGCCAUAGUGAAUCACCUGGGAUUGUGAGAUCUGGGCUCUCUGACAAAUUUAGUUAUCUAUGCUCACUUUACCUCUGUGAGAUGAGGAUAUUUACCAUCCUCAGAUAUGUUACCAGAUUUACCUUCCAACUAAACACAGUCUUUUAGAGAGGAAGGAUAUUAUCAUUGGCAGACACCUUGAAUUUAGGGAGGGGGACUUUCAGAAAAAGCACAGGUGAUCUGACAAAUGCCACGGAUUUGCACCAAAGGCCAGUUAUGGCAGAAGAGUCUCUGUGACAAGCCAGCUUGAAUGAUGUUUUCCUUAUAAAUGGUAAACAAACCAGUGAGGAUUACUGAUGAUAGACAGCAGACAGGGGGAUUCUUGCUAUUUCUUUUUUUUUUCUUUUUUUUUUUUUAUUGCAACUGCUUUGUAAAAACAAGACACUAUUAAUAUUAAAUAUAAUUGCAAACAUCGUAAA